CCUACGGGAGGCAGCAGUGGGGAAUAUUGCACAAUGGGGGGAACCCUGAUGCAGCGACGCCGCGUGAGUGAAGACGGAUCUCGGUAUUUAAAGCUUCAUCUGUAGGGAAGUAAAUGACGGUACGUGUCUAAAAAUCCCCGGCUAACUCCGUGCCAGCAGCCGCGGUAACACGGAGGGUGCAAGCGUUAUCCGGAUUUACUGGGGGUAAAGGGAGCGUAGUCGGCAGAGCAAGUCUGAAGUGAAAGCCCGCGGCCCAACUGCGGGACUGCUUUGGAUACUGCCCGGCUAGAGUGCUGGAGAGGUAAGCGGAAUUCCUAGUGUAGCGGUGAAAUGCGUAGAUAUUAGGAAGAACACCGGUUGCGAAGGCAGCUUACUGGACAGUAACUGACGUUGAGGCUCGAAAGCGUGGGGAGCAAACAGGAUUAGAUACCCCAGUAGUC
rnacentral:rRNA from 1 species